CCUACGGGGGGCUGCAGUGGGGAAUAUUGCACAAUGGGCGCAAGCCUGAUGCAGCCAUGCCGCGUGUGUGAAGAAGGCCUUCGGGUUGUAAAGCACUUUCAGCGGGGAGGAAGGCGGUGAGGUUAAUAACCUCAUCGAUUGACGUUACCCGCAGAAGAAGCACCGGCUAACUCCGUGCCAGAAGCCGCGGUAAUACGGAGGGUGCAAGCGUUAAUCGGAAUUACUGGGCGUAAAGCGCACGCAGGCGGUCUGUCAAGUCGGAUGUGAAAUCCCCGGGCUCAACCUGGGAACUGCAUUCGAAACUGGCAGGCUAGAGUCUUGUAGAGGGGGGUAGAAUUCCAGGUGUAGCGGUGAAAUGCGUAGAGAUCUGGAGGAAUACCGGUGGCGAAGGCGGCCCCCUGGACAAAGACUGACGCUCAGGUGCGAAAGCGUGGGGAGCAAACAGGAUUAGAUACCCGUGUAGUC
rnacentral:rRNA from 1 species